rnacentral:rRNA from 1 species
CAGAGCCUGAAUCAGUGUGUGUGUUAGUGGAAGCGUCUGGAAAGGCGCGCGAUACAGGGUGACAGCCCCGUACACAAAAAUGCACAUACUGUGAGCUCGAUGAGUAGGGCGGGACACGUGGUAUCCUGUCUGAAUAUGGGGGGACCAUCCUCCAAGGCUAAAUACUCCUGACUGACCGAUAGUGAACCAGUACCGUGAGGGAAAGGCGAAAAGAACCCCGGCGAGGGGAGUGAAAAAGAACCUGAAACCGUGUACGUACAAGCAGUGGGAGCCUCUUUUAUGGGGUGACUGCGUACCUUUUGUAUAAUGGGUCAGCGACUUAUAUUCUGUAGCAAGGUUAACCGAAUAGGGGAGCCGAAGGGAAACCGAGUCUUAACUGGGCGUUAAGUUGCAGGGUAUAGACCCGAAACCCGGUGAUCUAGCCAUGGGCAGGUUGAAGGUUGGGUAACACUAACUGGAGGACCGAACCGACUAAUGUUGAAAAAUUAGCGGAUGACUUGUGGCUGGGGGUGAAAGGCCAAUCAAACCGGGAGAUAGCUGGUUCUCCCCGAAAGCUAUUUAGGUAGCGCCUCGUGAAUUCAUCUCCGGGGGUAGAGCACUGUUUCGGCAAGGGGGUCAUCCCGACUUACCAACCCGAUGCAAACUGCGAAUACCGGAGAAUGUUAUCACGGGAGACACACGGCGGGUGCUAACGUCCGUCGUGAAGAGGGAAACAACCCAGACCGCCAGCUAAGGUCCCAAAGUCAUGGUUAAGUGGGAAACGAUGUGGGAAGGCCCAGACAGCCAGGAUGUUGGCUUAGAAGCAGCCAUCAUUUAAAGAAAGCGUAAUAGCUCACUGGUCGAGUCGGCCUGCGCGGAAGAUGUAACGGGGCUAAACCAUGCACCGAAGCUGCGGCAGCGACGCUUAUGCGUUGUUGGGUAGGGGAGCGUUCUGUAAGCCUGCGAAGGUGUGCUGUGAGGCAUGCUGGAGGUAUCAGAAGUGCGAAUGCUGACAUAAGUAACGAUAAAGCGGGUGAAAAGCCCGCUCGCCGGAAGACCAAGGGUUCCUGUCCAACGUUAAUCGGGGCAGGGUGAGUCGACCCCUAAGGCGAGGCCGAAAGGCGUAGUCGAUGGGAAACAGGUUAAUAUUCCUGUACUUGGUGUUACUGCGAAGGGGGGACGGAGAAGGCUAUGUUGGCCGGGCGACGGUUGUCCCGGUUUAAGCGUGUAGGCUGGUUUUCCAGGCAAAUCCGGAAAAUCAAGGCUGAGGCGUGAUGACGAGGCACUACGGUGCUGAAGCAACAAAUGCCCUGCUUCCAGGAAAAGCCUCUAAGCAUCAGGUAACAUCAAAUCGUACCCCAAACCGACACAGGUGGUCAGGUAGAGAAUACCAAGGCGCUUGAGAGAACUCGGGUGAAGGAACUAGGCAAAAUGGUGCCGUAACUUCGGGAGAAGGCACGCUGAUAUGUAGGUGAAGCGACUUGCUCGUGGAGCUGAAAUCAGUCGAAGAUACCAGCUGGCUGCAACUGUUUAUUAAAAACACAGCACUGUGCAAACACGAAAGUGGACGUAUACGGUGUGACGCCUGCCCGGUGCCGGAAGGUUAAUUGAUGGGGUUAGCGGUAACGCGAAGCUCUUGAUCGAAGCCCCGGUAAACGGCGGCCGUAACUAUAACGGUCCUAAGGUAGCGAAAUUCCUUGUCGGGUAAGUUCCGAC